CCUACGGGAGGCAGCAGUAGGGAAUAUUGGUCAAUGGGCGAGAGCCUGAACCAGCCAUGCCGCGUGCAGGAAGACGGCCUUCUGGGUUGUAAACUGCUUUUCUCAAGGAACAAAACGGCCAUGCGUGGCAAACUGAGUGUACUUGAGGAAUAAGCACCGGCUAACUCCGUGCCAGCAGCCGCGGUAAUACGGAGGGUGCAAGCGUUGUCCGGAUUUAUUGGGUUUAAAGGGUGCGUAGGCGGAAGUCUAAGUCAGUGGUGAAAGUUUGCGGCUCAACCGUAAAAUUGCCAUUGAUACUGGAUUUCUUGAGUAUAGUUGAGGUAGGCGGAAUUCAUGGUGUAGCGGUGAAAUGCAUAGAUACCAUGAAGAACACCAAUAGCGUAGGCAGCUUACUAAACUAUAACUGACGCUGAGGCACGAAAGCGUGGGGAGCGAACAGG
rnacentral:rRNA from 1 species